GUUACUAUUUUAUAGUUCUACAUUAUUACUUUGCCCAGCACCUUGCUGAUAAAGAGUAACAAUGUAGGCAGAAUAAGGACUUCAGGAUGUUUUACAGGGACUAGGCAGGGCUUCUUGGAUUACAGAUGGAUGCCUGGACUUCUGUGUCAGCAUAAGCACCUGCUCACUUAUGGUUCCAUGAAUCCAACACUGUCACAGAUAAAAGCCUGAAAGACAUGAUGCUGAGUCUUCUGAGAAGGAAGAAGUUACCUAGUACCCUGAAUGUUUUC
rnacentral:lncRNA from 1 species